ensembl:lncRNA
AUCAGAAACCUGUCUUGUCUCCAUCUCUCGUGUCCCCUGUCCCCUCUCAUCCUCGCUCCCCCUCUAGGGUCUCCGUUGACUUACCCGCGGGCCGGGACAACGGGCGAAACCUCUCCCCCCACGUUAUUAAGGUGAGACCUGGCAUGAGAAGAAGGCUUGUAGGAAAACUGAAGUGCAAGCUGCCAGAUCAAACUGAAGAGGGACUUUGCCUUGCAGUAUCCAGCUCUCACUCUCCAGAGACUGUUAAAGCGUGCAAAGCGGAGGAUCUGCAGAACUCCUCAAGUUUCGCUGCAUGGAGGGAGGUGCACGGCCCCGGAAGCAGCGCAGGUCUCUGGCUCUGAACAUCCCGAAGAUGGUGGGGCUCAGGGAUGCUUCCGCGCCUGGCGACGCUUCGUCUGGGGACAAGAAAAAAGAAACGAUGGGUCCACCACAGACUUUUACGUGGGAGCAGACAGCGUCUCAUUAAAAAGCACAGGGAAAAGUGCUGAUGCAAAUCCUUCCUUUUGGGGAAGCUGAUUCUGUCACAGAGCAAAGACCGGCAAAGGUCGGCACACAGGCGUGUUAUCGGGAAGACUGCGCGCGAGUGUGACGCGCCUGAGCAUUGUCAGGCCCAGGACUCAGGCGUUUGAUCCCCCUGACCAUUCUGGACAAGUGGCCCAUUUCCCGUUUGUGAAGUGACUCGUUUCACGGGAACACUCCCGGUUUGAGGCCUUGACGGUUCGGCCUCUCCCAAGGCGUGGGGUGAACAGGAAGGUGGGGGUGCUCAGGCCACGACUGGCCCGGCUCGGGUCUCUGAGGAC